UGCGCAGGCGGGUUUAUAAGUCAGUGGUGAAAUACUGCCGCUUAACGGUAGGAUUGCCAUUGAUACUGUGAAUCUUGAGUUUGGAUGAGGUAAGCGGAAUGUGCAGUGUAGCGGUGAAAUGCAUAGAGAUUGCACAGAACACCGAUUGCGAAGGCAGCUUACUAAUCCACGACUGACGCUGAGGCACGAAAGCGUGGGGAGCGAACAGGAUUAGAUACCCUGGUAGUCC
rnacentral:rRNA from 1 species